rnacentral:tRNA from 1 species
GCACUUGUAGCGAAACGGCCAAAACGCGAAGGUCUGCAAAACUUUUAUCUCAUGGUUUCGAAUCCCAUCAAAUGUUCCA